CCUACGGGUGACAGCAGUGAGGAAUAUUGGUCAAUGGGCGAGAGCCUGAACCAGCCAAGUCGCGUGAAGGAUGAAGGAUCUAUGGGUUGUAAACUUCUUUUAUAGGGGAAUAAAGUGAGGAACGUGUUCCUUUUUGUAUGAACCAUAUAAAUAAGAAUCGGCUAACUCCGGGCCAGCCGCCGCGGAAAUACGGAGGAGGGGAGCGUUAUCCGGAUUUAUUGGGUUUAAAGGGUGCGUAGGGGGGUAAUUAAGUCAGCGGUUAACGUUUGUGGCUAAACCAUAAAAUUGCCGUUGAAACUGGUUGACUUGAGUAUAUGUGAGGUAGGCGGAAUGCGUGUUGUAGCGGUGACAUGCAUAGAUAUCACGCAGAACUCCGAUUGCGAAGGCAGCUUACUAAACUAUAACUGACACUGAAGCCCGAAAGCGUGGGUAUCAAACAGGAUUAGCUACCCGUGUAGUC
rnacentral:rRNA from 1 species